GAUGAACGCUGGCGGCGUGCCUAAUACAUGCAAGUCGAGCGAACAGACGAGGAGCUUGCUCCUCUGACGUUAGCGGCGGACGGGUGAGUAACACGUGGAUAACCUACCUAUAAGACUGGGAUAACUUCGGGAAACCGGAGCUAAUACCGGAUAAUAUAUUGAACCGCAUGGUUCAAUAGUGAAAGACGGUUUUGCUGUCACUUAUAGAUGGAUCCGCGCCGCGUUAGCUAGUUGGUAAGGUAACGGCUUACCAAGGCGACGAUGCGUAGCCGACCUGAGAGGGUGAUCAGCCACACUGGAACUGAGACACGGUCCAGACUCCUACGGGAGGCAGCAGUAGGGAAUCUUCCGCAAUGGGCGAAAGCUUGACGGAGCAACGCCGCGUGAGUGAUGAAGGUCUUCGGAUCGUAAAACUCUGUUAUUAGGGAAGAACAAAUGUGUAAGUAACUAUGCACGUCUUGACGGUACCUAAUCAGAAAGCCACGGCUAACUACGUG
rnacentral:rRNA from 1 species